CCAAUAGCGUAUAUUAAAGUUGUUGCAGUUAAAAAGCUCGUAGUUGAAUUUCGGGAUCAAUACGUCGGUCGUGCCUUCGGUAUGUACUGGCGUUGUUGGUUUCUCCUUUCUGAGGAGCCAUGAUGCCAUUAAUUUGGUGUCGUGGGGAAUCAGGACUGUUACUUUGAAAAAAUUAGAGUGUUUAAAGCAGGCACACGCUUGAAUACAUUAGCAUGGAAUAAUGAAAUAGGACGUUCGAUUCUAUUUUGUUGGUUUCUAGGAUCAACGUAAUGAUUAAUAGGGAUAGUUGGGGGCAUUAGUAUUCAAUUGUCAGAGGUGAAAUUCUUGGAUUUAUUGAAGACUAACUACUGCGAAAGCAAUUGCCAAGGAUGUUUUCAUUAAUCAAGAACGAAAGUUAGGGGAUCGAAGACGAUCAGAUACCGUCGUAGUCUUAACCAUAAACUAUGCCGACUAGGGAUCGGAUGAUGUUAAUUUUUUAAUGACUCAUUCGGCGCCUUACG
rnacentral:rRNA from 1 species